GAUGAACGCUGGCGGCGUGCCUAAUACAUGCAAGUCGAGCGAACGGACGAUAAGCUUGCUUCUCUGAUGUUAGCGGCGGACGGGUGAGUAACACGUGGAUAACCUACCUAUAAGACUGGGAUAACUUCGGGAAACCGGAGCUAAUACCGGAUGAUAUUUUGAACCGCAUGGUUCAAAAGUGAAAGACGGUCUUUCUGUCACUUAUAGAUGGAUCCGCGCUGCAUUAGCUAGUUGGUAAGGUAACGGCUUACCAAGGCAACGAUGCAUAGCCGACCUGAGAGAGUGAUAGGCCGCACUGGAACUGAGACGCGGUCCAGACUCCUAAGGGAGGCAGCAGUAGGGAAUCUGCCGCAAUGGGCGAAAGCAUGACGGAGCAACGCCGAGUGAGUGAUGAAGGUCUUCGGAUCGUAAAACUCUGUUAUUAGGGAAGAACAUAUGUGUAAGGAACUGUGCAGAUCUUGACGGUACCUAAUAAGAAAGCCACGGCUAACUACGUG
rnacentral:rRNA from 1 species